AGCUACGAAUAUUUUUUAACAAACAUAGUACUAAUUUUAUUGCGAUAAAUGGCUAAUCGAGCUCAACAGUAUUAAAAUGCCCGAAAUUGCAUAAGCUAUUGGGUAAUAGACUCAAACUUUGUUUAUUGGAGUUGUCCACGUUGGGAGAUAAUUUACGAUAUGAAGUUUUAUUGCGUGAAAGAUCAGUAACACGUUUGAAUAGAAGAUGUAUGUGUAUAAAAAUAUUUAUUAAAAUGAAAAGCAUUUGGAUGUCAGCAAAUUCUAUAAUCUCGUUGGUCUCAGAAAAAUAUGUAGUCGAUAAACUUGUUCUUGAAUGAAACAUUGCAAAAGACAUUGGGAAAUUGAGAACUACGUCAAAAAGAAAUAUGUAUACGGACAAACUUGAUAAGUUAUUUGACUUGACAAAAUGUAAAUGCAAAAUCUUAUGCUGUAAUGAAAAUGGAUGCAAUGGUUGUCUUUUUAAAGCUCAUGUAACUUGCAUAUGUUUAAAAGUAGCAAAGAUACCUUCGCAAGAACUAAUUUUCUUACAAGCUCAAAGAAAUAAAAUUGGCAACAAAAGUACUUUACAAAUAGGAUUAAUUGAUGUAUCAGAGACAUAUUGGUUAACAAGAUAUUUUGAAUGAAAAGAAUCCGGCUCUAAAAUACCUGGAUAUAGUGAGGAUAUAGCUGUAGAAUUUCAAACAACAAUAGAUGAUUCAGACAUUGGCAACAAAAAUGCAAAUUCAGAAAAAGAUUACUUUAGUUCGAAAAAAAAAUACUAAGAUAUUACCAGGGUUUCUCAAGCAGCUAUUAGGUAUGGAGUAUCCAACAGAACUUCAGCAGCCAUAGCUAUUGCUGCUUUACUUCUGCUAGAGAUGAAAUUUUUGUAAUGAAAUAUACUGAUAUUUUCAUUGAUAACAACAAAAUAAAACGAGGUAAACGAGGUAAACGAGGUAAGUUAACAAAAUAAAUCCGAGGUAGAGCUGAAAUAGCGACAAUGAAUGAUAAUAUUCUAUGUAUAUUUUUUGAUGGACAAAAAGGUUUAACUAAAUACAUGAAAGAAGAAGAAAUUACAUCCAUCGGAAAAAAAAAAGAACAUUAUUCCGUUUGUUCUGAAUCUGUAGGUAAAUACUAAAUUCAUUUUACUAAAAUACUAACUUCAUUUCACUAACAAUUCUGAAGGAAACUGCAGCAGAGAAAAGAGCUGACAAACUUUACAAAUGCAUCAUGAUGAUGGAAACUCUUUAGUUGCCCCUGGUGCGGACUCAACAAAUUUAAACACUGGUUGGAAGGGAGAAGUUAUCCACUACCUUGAACAUAAAUUGGAUAAAAAACUAAUAUGGAUAAUUUGUGCUCUACAAAAAAAUAAACUACCUCUCCGGAAAAACUGCUUCAAAAAAUAACUUUUCUGGUUCUAUUGGAAAACUUAUAGAUAAAGUUACUAGCUUCAAAGUCAAAGAUAACAUAAUAUAAAUUGAAUUUCCUAAUGCAAUAAAAGAUCUUGACUCUGAAGUUGUAAAUUUGCUUUCAGAUGACCAAAAGUAUUUUUUAUCAAAUUACCCAUGGAAUUAACGCAGGAGUUUUUCCGGACAAUCUUAAAAGCAAAGAAAUUAGUCCACUUUUGCAUGCAAUAUGGUUGAAUUUAGAAAAUACAAUAUCUUUACUUUAGUGCUCAGAAAUCUUUCAAUUGAAAAAAAAUCUUUAACUUCUAGUGGAGUUCAUUGUUUGAGUUUAUGCGCAACUUUAGUUUGACAUGCGCCACUUUGGUUUGAGUAAAGUGGAAUUGGACUGAAGGGUAUAACCAUAUACUCAAACAAUUAAAACUUCUUUGUCAUUAAAGACUUAAAGUUAAAGACAUUUUAAUGCCCUAUAUUUUUUCAUCUUCAUGGAAGCUUAUAGUGAAAUUGUUCUUCAAUCAUUGUUUUGUAGUCUAGAAAAAACAGAAAGAGAAUUUGCAGUUGAAACAAUUUUAAAAUUGAGAGGAUAUUCAGAAUACGGAAACACUAAUGUAAGAAGUAGAAAACAUCAUAUACAUGAUGAAAACGCUGAUUCACUUUUUGAUCUAAUUAACUGGAGUUUGGACGUACUCGAAUCUUUACUUACAUGUUUAUCGUCAAAGGAUUUUAAAUACAAUGAUGCUCCUUAAAAAAAUACAAUGAUACCCCGAUGUAUGUACCUUGUUUUUCUGUUCAUGGGCAAGCUAUUAAAAGAUGUGUCCAAGAAGGACAAUGUCUUGCCCAUCUUCAAAACUUGCAAGGAUGCAUAUAAUGAAGCGUCUAUUGGUUUGACUUUUUUUAAUUUGUUUAACUAAUGAAUCAAUUUUGU